rnacentral:lncRNA from 1 species
AUUUCUGGGUCAGAUAACUCCCUGCUCUCAGCCCUGAUGACUACACCUUUGACACACACUAUAUUGCUCCAUUGUCAGCCACUCUCCCUCCCACUGCCCUGAAGAUGGAAAUGUACCCAACCUUCAAGCCCCUGUCGGUCCAGCUCGCGAAGUUUCCGGCUGAAGAUUCAUUAUCAGAUGGAUGAGAUGUUCAUCUCCACUUACACAGCCUACGGCUUGUGUGUGGAGAAAGAUGUUGAGCCAACAAAAUGAUCUGCAACACAAAAUUCUACUCUCCUCUUCACUCUUUAUUGCUAAAGCACUUAUUUCACUGGUUUCAAGCUGCUUUAAAAGGAGUGAAUAUGCAGGUAAGGAGAUUGGACCGGGUUGGAGUGUCUGUCCCUGCAGCUGGGUCCUCCAGGCAUGGACACAUGUUUGUAAGAUUAAAAAGACCAUUGCAAGGCCAGGCAUGGUGGCUCAUGCCUGAAAUCACAGCACUUUGGGAGGCUGAGACAAAUGGAUCGCUUGAGGUCAGGAGUUCAAGACCAGCCUGGCCAACAUGGUGAAACCCCACCUCUACUAAAAUACAAUAAUUAGCUGGGCAUGGUGGCAGGUGCCCGUAAUCCCAGCUACUUGAGAGGCUGAGACAGGAGAAUCGCUUGAACCAGGAGACGGAGGUUGCAGUGAGCCGGGAUCGCACCACUACACUCCAGCCUGGGCCACAGAGCAAGACUCUGUCUCAAAAAAAAAAAAAAAAAAUGAUGAUGUUGCAGUUCCCAGAUAUGAGUCCGCAACAUGCUCUUGCUAUAACCCAUUGGAUUAAAAAGAGUCCUUCCCUUUGGACUGUGGGUCCAAAGCUUUGCCCCAUUUUUCUCUUUCCAUUGCUACUAUUCAAAUCCUGAAUGGCAGUUUCUUGAGAGGUUAAUUGGUAGUAGGCCAGCAUUAAAAAAGUCAGAGGGGGCAGGAGUCCUGUGGUCAUGGAUUUCUGAAAAGCCAUAUUAACAUAUUAACAAAGUUAGAUGCCUGUCUUUAUUGCAGAGCUCGGGAGCCUUUUCUACGCUCAGGUCUUUUCAAAUCCCCAGUGGAACUCUGCUGCGGUUUUUCUCAGUUUGACCUCAGCGCCUUUUGUUUCCUGUGGAAUGUCAUGGGAUUAGCAUUCCUGGCGGUACUUAGGGAGACAUGUUUUCUAGCAGUCUGGGUCCCAGAAGGGCAAGUCAAGUAAUCAAUCAACAAGAAAGUACACAAAUAUGUUGCAUGUCAAGUUAUCAUCAAUUUUAAAAUAUUAUUGAUGACAUUUUUAAUCAGUUUAUUUAUUUGUACUAAACCUAUUUCUACUUACAGAACUCCUCAAUUCCCACUAGCCCCAUUUCAAGUGCUCAGGAGCUCCAUGGAGCUCCCUCGCAGCUCGAUUGGACGUGCAGAGCUUGAUGAAGCGGAUAAAAGACACUCAGGUUUAGACCCUUGGAGGGAGAGAACACAGAGGGCUUUGUGACCUUUUAAUGAGGCACAAAAACACCCCUGAGACUUUCCUUUUCCCACCCCUUCUCUAUUAAUCCUCUUCAACAACAUGAAUUUCCACAGUGAGUUGAGGGUUUACCCCUACCUGCCUCAAAGGAAUUUUGAAAAGAUUAAAAAAAAAAAAAAAGAAAGAAAGGAAAACAGAGCUUUGGCUCAGCACUCAGGACCCAUCCGAGGUGGUCGCAAUUAAAAACAAAAGCAGCCACUGUGAUUGGUCUCACUUGUACCGUAGUAACAUGUGAUCUAUUUCAGCAGCAGCCAUAGCGUUUGUUUUGGAGACUUCAGUCAGAAAAUAAACGUAACGCAUGUGUGAAAAGAAAGAAGUGUGUGGAACUCGGAGAAAGUCUUAUCUUCUGAACACGAGUGCCCGAGGACAGAAGCCCCCAUCUUUUAACAAAGAAAAGUCCAUUGUUCAUCAUUUUGUGAAAUGUGAAAACUAACAUGAUAAACAAUGAUUCAUUUUAAUGGACUGAAAAAUAACUUGCAUAGACACUGGAGGCCAAGAAAAGAAAAAAAAAAAAAGAAAGAAAAGAAAAAGCAUUAUCCUUUUAUCCAUUUAAAGAAAAAAAAGCAAAAUACAUCCUAUUAUCAGCUCUCAAUAGAUGAACAGGCACUAAGCAGAAGCUUCGGGAAGGCUGCUGUUUCAGAAAAACUUAACAGGUUUUUGAAAAGAAGAAUUCCAACCCCCUGAACUCCCACCCUCUUGUGCACACAACUGGAAGAAUGGCACACCCAGAUCUGAUGGUGAUAACUUUUAUUUGCAAAGAGAUGGGUUAGGAACGGCCAGCGGUUGGGGGCAGAUUGGAGAUGGGAGGAGAGCUCAUCAAAGGGCUUCAGUUAGUUGUAGGUAAACAGGCCUUGUCCCCUGACACUGUUCUUUUCCUUGCAACCCAUCAAAAGAUGUAUCUGAAUGGUGACUGGACCCAGGGGUGCUGGGGCGAGGGUGUCAGGAAGCCGCUUUCAGGAAUCAGCCAUCCUACUGCUCUUCCUGUAAGGAUUUCUGUUGCUCUUUAAAUCAGUAAGUGGAGACUAGGGCAUUCUAAUGUUGCAAACAUUAAACAGUCAAGCUACCACUUAAAUUUUCUGCUGCAAAAGAAAUUUCAACCACUGACUAGUUAAGGGGAAGGAUCUCCCCUACCCUAUAAUUCCCAUGGCUAAAACGCUUGACAUUUCUUAUUUCAGACUGGAAGAUUCUGUAGGCUGUCCGAUUUAGGUAAAUGGCGCUGUCUUUGGCUUUCGUUAUGAUGCUCAGAAGUGAGAGCUGCUGCAGUUUGACCCCCUCUCCCUGGCUGUGGGCUUUGCUGUGACACAAGGUAAAGUGAGGAGUCAGUGCUGCCCUGGGACCCAGCCCAAGCAUAUGGCUACACUGUGGCUUAGUGUCCGGGGGCUGCUUUAACAAAUGACCGCAAACUGGGUGUCUUCAAACAACAGAAGCUCUUCUCCUGGAGUUCUGAAGGCCAGAAGUCCAAAAUCAAGGUGUGGGCAGGCUAGGUUCCUUCCAAAAGCUCUGGGAGAAUGUUCCGGCUCUCUCCUGGCUUCUGGCAGUGCCAGGAUUCCUUGGCUGUCUUUGGUUCCUAGAUGCUGCACUCCAGUCUCUGUCUCCGUGGUCACAUGGUAUCCUCUCCGUGCCUCCCUGCGGCUUCAUGUGGUCUUCUUAUAAGGACACCAGUCACUGGAUUUAGGACCCACCCUAAAUCCAGGAGGACUUCAUCUAUGAGAAUGGCAUACACAAAGAGCCUAUUUCCAAAUAAGUUCACAUUCUGAGGUUCUGGGUGGACAGGUAUUUGUUAGGACACUAUUUAGCCUAGUCCAUCCUCAUUCUUCUACUCCAAGAUGAAAUUUUCCUAAACUUCUAAUAGCUAUUUUUAUCACUGCAGAUUUUAUUACCUUGACAAAAAAAAAA